UAUAUAUAUAGAGUGAGGCUACUAUGCUAUCGGAAGCACGAAGUCUUCCGUGCUUCCAGCUCGUUUUCGAUGUUGCGACUUUCGAAUCGUCGAUCGGCUCCGUUAAAUUUCAUCUAGAGUAUUUGGAGUACCUAAAAAAUAAAUUUUAUUAUUUUUCGAUAUCAUUUACCUAGUGAUCGAAUGAGCUCAAAAUCAACAAAUUUCAAUAGUCGUAGUGAGCCGUUUGCAAGUUUAACGGUGUAGAAAUAUCCAAAUUACGUGAAAUUUUGAUAGAAAAUUCUUUAUACUAUAUAAAACAAGAUCAAUAUCUUUGAUUUAAAAUUUUAAUG
rnacentral:lncRNA from 1 species